UACGGAGGGUGCGAGCGUUAUCCGGAAUUAUUGGGCGUAAAGCGCGCGCAGGUGGUUUCUUAAGUUCUGAUGUGAAAGCCCACGGCGUCAACCGUGGAGGGUCAUUGGAAACUGGGAGACUUGAGUGCAGAAGAAGGAAAGUGGAAUUCCAUGGUGGUAGCGGUGAAAUGCGUAGAGAUAUGGAGGAACACCAGUGGCGAAAGGCGACUUUACUGGUCUGUAACGAGCCACUGAGGCGCGAAAGCGUGGGGAGAAACAGG
rnacentral:rRNA from 1 species